UGCGUAGGCGGCGGGGAAAGUCAGAUGUGAAAUCCGGAGGCUCAACCUCCGAAUUGCAUCCGAUACUCCCUCGCUAGAGAUUUGUAGAGGAGCUUGGAAUUCUCGGUGUAGCAGUGAAAUGCGUAGAUAUCGAGAAGAACGCUCGCAGCGAAGGCGAAGCUCUGGGCAAAUUCUGACGCUGAUGCACGAAGCGUAGGGGAGACGAAACG
rnacentral:rRNA from 1 species